rnacentral:rRNA from 1 species
UGGGGAAUUUUGGACAAUGGGGGCAACCCUGAUCCAGCCAUUCCGCGUGAGUGAAGAAGGCCUUCGGGUUGUAAAGCUCUUUCAGCAGGAACGAAACGGUCGGCUUUAAUAAAGUCGGCUAAUGACGGUACCUGCAGAAGAAGCUCCGGCUAACUUCGUGCCAGCAGCCGCGGUAAUACGAAGGGGGCUAGCGUUGUUCGGAUUUACUGGGCGUAAAGCGCGUGUAGGCGGGUCGUUAAGUUGGGGGUGAAAUCCCGAGGCUCAACCUCGGAACUGCCUUCAAAACUGGCGACCUGGACUCAAGUAGAGGCAAGUGGAAUUGCGAGUGUAGAGGUGAAAUUCGUAGAUAUUCGCAGGAACACCAGUGGCGAAGGCGACUUGCUGGACUUGUAGUGACGCUGAGACGCGAAAGCGUGGGGAGCAAACAGGAUUAGAUACCCAGGUAGUCCCUGAGCGGGCUGGCAAGGCGCAU